rnacentral:lncRNA from 1 species
CUCAAGAUUUCCCAUGAUUUCUCGCUCAAAAAUCGCCCCAAGCUGCGUUUUUUUCGUCCAAAAAUGUGGGAAUGAGCUAAAAAAACAAGACAUCUCAAUAAAACACGAUUCUAGUUGCUAAAAACCCCAUUCCAUCACUAAAAAGUGCCAAAUCUGGUCGCUAAAGUUGCACACCAGAUCCUGCUGCACCAGCAAUAUUUAUUUUCACUAAAAAGGCUCUAACUACACCAUACGAACUCGAAAUUCGAUGAUUCUUGUUACUAUGAUUUACAAAUAAUAGUACAAACAUAGCCCUUCAAUCGAAACUCAAUUCAGAGCUCAUUUGCACAGUGCGAUACCCAUUUUGCUCGAUAAACAAUUAACUUAUGUUUCGCAUCAAAAACCCAAUCGUGACUUGAUGAAAUUAGACCAAACUUUCCAAAUCACUCCGAUAAUUCAUUAUCAAAAUUUCGGAAGUCCCGAAAUCAAACUUCGAUCUCUAGAACUAAAAACAGACCUUUGGAUCAUUACAUGAUUAUGCCCAAAACGACAAAAAUCUUCCAAAAACUCUUCCAAAACUUAUCUGAGCCUCAUGGGACCCGACCAAAUAUGCCAACACACCCCAUAACAUCAUUCAAACUUGUUUCAACCUUCAUAACACUCAAAACAAUAUCAAAAUAUCGAAUCACUCUCGGAUUCAAGCCAAGAAUUCCAAAACAUCUGAAUUCCGAAUUAGAUCAAAAGGUCUAUCAAACCUCGUCCGAAUGACCUGAAAAUAUGCAUACACGUCACAAAUGGCACAAUGGACCUACUUCAAUUUCUGGAAUUCCAUUCCGACCCUGAUAUCAAAAUUUCCACUACUGACCGGAAAACGGCAAAUUUCCAAUUUCGUCAAUUCGAACCUAAAUCUAUCACAGACCUCCAAAAUACAUUCCGGACGCCCUCCCAAGUCCAAAAUCACCUAACGGAGCUAACCAAAUCAUAGAAAUCCAAAUCUGAGAUCGAAUACUAAAAAUUCAAAACUUGGUCAAACCUUUCAAAUUUAAAGCUUCAAGCUGAGAAUGGUUCUUCCAAAUCUAUUUUGAUUGUCCUGAAAACCAAAACCGACGAUUUACAUAGAUCAUAAUACAUCAUACGUGGCUAGUCAUGCCCGAGAACUGGCAAGUGAAGUGCAAAUGCUCAAAAUGACUAGUCGAAUCGUUACAUAAAGGAAUCUAUAAUUUUCCACCUACGCAAGAACAAAGCUAGUAAAUUAAAUCCUAUUCUCGCCAGCUUGUAUUGAAAAGCUAAUUACAAGAAAAAGGACAACCUAAUUUGGCUAAGUUAUGCUAAAAUAGUCAACAAUUCAUUAUGGUCUAAAUUCAAACUCAAGAUAACAAUGGUAGCAAUUUUAUCUAUAACAGAGUUUUCUAUCAAACACAACAACCAAACCAUCAUUUAGCAUGCUCUAAACAGUUUUCUAUCAAGAAAUAGAAAAGGUUUUGCUGCUAACCUUGUAAGAAACAUACUGGCAGCAAAUUAUAAUCUUAAAAUAAAUAAACCAACGAAUACAAAGGACCUUUGAUGGAACGUAUUGUCCAUAUAUGAUUUAUCAGUUCAUUUAUUACGAUCUACCAAAUAAUAGAUGUAAAAAUCAUUUUAGAGCAGCAUUAGCCAGUUAAUUAGCUUUUUCUUCAAGUUUUAUACACUUUGUAUGCAUAUGCAUCAUACAUACACAUCACACAAUAGAGAACACAUCAGUACAUAGCACCAAUAUUUAACCUUAAUAUAGAAAUAGAUGAAAAUUGACCUCAAAUAUUUCCUCUACGAGUCCAUAAGACAAAUAUGGCAACGGUUUGAGCUUUAAGGGAUUAAUGGAGGAUUUUGGAGUGUUCCUCGGCAAAAAUGGCAACGGUUUGAGCUGCGGUUUUCACGUUGUUUAGAGAUGGUUUUACAGCUUUCUCGAGGCUGUGUUGUUGCAUUUUUUAGCUAGAAAUUCUAGCUAGUUUUUGGUGAUAUUUGGGCGAUUUGAAGGAAGGUUUAGAGGUGGUUCCGGAAAUAGCUGAUCGUGGUUGUUUGGGCUGCUUCUCAGUUGGGAUUUUUUGUGCUUUUUUUGGGGUAGUUAGGAUGGCAGCUCAUAGAAGAUGAUGGGCGUGGCUGAAGUUUUUAGAAUGGAGUCCGUGAGAGCUGCUGGUUCUCUUUUUAGUUGAAGAAAGGUAGAAACAGCUGUACAUGGGGGGGUUCUCUAGGGUUCGUAUAAAAUGGGGAGAUGAAGGGGUCUUUAGGUUAGCGGGUAUGGG